rnacentral:rRNA from 1 species
UACGUAGGGUGCGAGCGUUAAUCGGAAUUACUGGGCGUAAAGCGUGCGCAGGCGGUUUUGUAAGCCAGAUGUGAAAUCCCCGGGCUUAACCUGGGAAUGGCAUUUGGGACUGCAAGGCUUGAGUGUGGCAGAGGAGACGUGGAAUUCCUGGUGUAGCAGUGAAAUGCGUAGAUAUCAGGAGGAACACCGAUGGCGAAGGCAGGUCUCUGGGCUAACACUGACGCUCAUUGCGACGAAAGCGUGGGGAGCAAACAAG